UACGGGGGGGCAAGCGUUGCUCGGAAUCACUGGGCGUAAAGGGUGCGUAGGCGGGUUUUUAAGUCAGGGUGAAAUCCUGGAGCUCAACUCCAGAACUGCCUUUGAUACUGAAGAUCUUGAGUCCGGGAGAGGUGAGUGGAACUGCGAGUGUAGAGGUGAAAUUCGUAGAUAUUCGCAAGAACACCAGUGGCGAAGGCGGCUCACUGGCCCGGUACUGACGCUGAGGCACGAAAGCGUGGGGAGCAAACAGG
rnacentral:rRNA from 1 species